rnacentral:rRNA from 1 species
ACUACGGGAGGCAGCAGUGAGGAAUAUUGGUCAAUGGGCGGAAGCCUGAACCAGCCAAGUAGCGUGCGGGAUGAAGGCCCUACGGGUCGUAAACCGCUUUUGCACGGGGAUAACACCCUCCACUUGUGGAGGUCUGCAGGUACCGUGCGAAUAAGGGCCGGCUAAUUCCGUGCCAGCAGCCGCGGUAAUACGGAAGGCCCGAGCGUUAUCCGGAUUCAUUGGGGUAAAAGGGAGCGUAGGCGGGCGUUCAAGGCAGCUGUAAAAGCCGGCGGCUCAACCGCGCCCCGCAGUUGAAAGUGGACGCCUUGAGUGCACAACAGGCAGGCGGAAUUCGUGGUGUAGCGGUGAAAUGCAUAGAUAUCACGAGGAACCCCGAUUGCGAAGGCAGCCUGCCGGGGUGCGACUGACGCUGAGGCUCGAAGGUGCGGGUAUCAAACAGGAUUAGAUACCCUUGUAGUC